CCGCCGAUCUGCUCCUCCCCUCGCAAUACCAACCCUGUCUACCACACACUCCCCGUCACUCUACACCACCCUCCCCUCGCCAUAUCAACCCUUCCGACCUCAUAUUCCCCAGAUCGAGAAAAGGGUCGUGGAGGGAAAAAGUGUGU